rnacentral:rRNA from 1 species
UACAGGGGGGGCAAGCGUUGUUCGGAAUCACUGGGCGUAAAGGGCGUGUAGGCGGGUAGAUAAGUCGGGCGUGAAAUCCCUAGGCUCAACCUAGGAACUGCACUCGAAACUGUUUAUCUUGAGUGCCGGAGAGGAAAGCGGAAUUCCGUGGUGUAGAGGUGAAAAUUCGUAGAUAUCAGGAGGAACACCAGUGGCGAAGGCGGCUUUCUGGACGGUAACUGACGCUGAGACGCGAAAGCGUGGGGAGCAAACAGG